rnacentral:rRNA from 1 species
CCUACGGGGGGCAGCAGUGAGGAAUAUUGGUCAAUGGGCGAGAGCCUGAACCAGCCAUCCCGCGUGCAGGAAGACGGCCCUAUGGGUUGUAAACUGCUUUUUUAUGGGAAGAAAAAGCUCUACGUGUAGGGCACUGACGGUACCAUAUGAAUAAGCAUCGGCUAACUCCGUGCCAGCAGCCGCGGUAAUACGGAGGAUGCGAGCGUUAUCCGGUUUAAUGAGGUUUAAAGGGUAAGUUGAAGGAAGAUUAGAAAUCUCACAGCUUAACUGUGAAACUGCCAUUGAUACUGGUUUUCUUGAGUAUAGUUGAAGUAGGCGGAAUGUGUAAUGUAGCGGUGAAAUGCUUAGAUAUUACACAGAACACCGAUUGCGAAGGCAGCUUACUAAGCUAUUACUGACGCUGAUGCACGAAAGCGUGGGGAGCGAACAGGAUUAGAUACCCGGGUAGUC